ensembl:processed_transcript 4930432L08Rik RIKEN cDNA 4930432L08 gene
GUCUUUAGCAGUGUCUCUCCUGUUAGUCACAUGAUGCUCCUGUUGCGCUCCAUCUUCUCGUCAACUACUGCCAUGUCCAAGACUAUUGGGCAAGACACAGCAGAAGAGGGCAUCAGAUCCCAUUACAGACGGUUUGAAGCCACCAUGUGAUUGCCAGGAAUUGAACUCAGUACCUCCGGAAGAGCAGUCAGUGCUCUUAACUGCUGAGCCAUCUCUCCAGCCCAUCUUUCUGGAUUUUAAAAAGAGACUCUGAUGCCUAAUAAUAUUUAACUUUUCUUAUUUUGACAAAUGAAGAUAGAGCCUUGCUACACAGCCCAGGCUAGUCUGGAACCUACCUUUAUCUUGGCUCAGCACCCCAAUGCUUCAAUUACAGGACUCUGGUAUUCUGCCUGGAAGAAAUAAGGAUGACACAACAAAUUAAGCGACACCAGAACAAGGGUGAAUCCUUCUUAAGGGUGCGGCUGCGAUCCUUUGUUCAACUGAACACUGUAUGAUUCUCUGCCUUACCACAGAUAGAAAUUGAGGGACGAGCUGCAGCAACGGAUGCACAACAGAGGACUGGGAGGACAUGAACACACACGAUGAGCACGGGGGCUCCUCAGCAUUGGGCAUUAAGAUGGCUUCCUGUCUGUCUGUCUGUCUGUCUGUUUCUACCCACUAUUCUCACCCCAGGUCAAAGGACAAGAAAAGGAAAUGAAAGGUAUUAUCUAAGACAGCCCAUUGAGAGCCCUUUAAAGAACACUAGUGAAUAAAUCAAGGGGUGGGACAGAUGGCUAGUCUUACACUAAGCAGUGGCCCAUUAUUUGGAGAAGCACUUUGCUGAAGGCCUCGGAUCUGUUACAACUGCAACAGGUGCAGCCCCAGGUCACCUCUCUAGGAGGCAAAAAGCCAUCUGUCAAUGUCUACACUUACUCAAAAUAAUCCGGUCCAGACCAAGGCCACUUGCAAGUAUCAGUUUUCCCUUACAAACAUUGUUAUCUGGAUGCGUCUAGCACACAUGCCUGGAAAUCUCCUUCAUAAAUUAAACAUUUAAAAUGGACCAGGAGCAAGACAACAGGGGACACGAAGAUGACAGUAGCAGAAAAGGUAACGAAGACGCGCUUUCUAAAAAUGAGAUGUCACGCAGGAGAAAAUGAACGCACACCUGAGACACAGCUACUGAAAGAGCGGCUCUCUCUUAAGGUCUAGGUUGAGUUGAGCCUCCUUGCUAAUAUUAAAUUCAUUUAACAGAUGGGUGAGUUUUAGCCCUAGAUAAUGGUUAUCUGUUCAUGAAUACAACUUGUGUUUGGUAUGUAGCUAAUCUCGCUUAAAACUUCCAUCUGUUCAUAUGUAAGAUUAUCCCACGAGGCACGCACUUAGAGUGGAGUUUAAAUUUUCAUUUACCUUUCCACAUACAUGUUUUAAAACACACUUUCCUUUUCAUUCUCUAAACUGCACCUAGUAGUGGAUCCCAAGCUUAAAAGGAAUAUUAUGGUCAAAUUGUUUCUAUAUUUAUUAAUUUUUCCCAGUGCAGAAGAUCAAACCCGGGGCUUGCUUAUGCUAGGUGAGAAGUCUGCUUCUACACCUCAGCCCUAGCCAGUUUGUAUGUUUUAAGUCCAUGC